CGGGGUGUAGCGCAGUCUGGUAGCGCAUCUGCUUUGGGAGCAGAGGGUCGCAGGUUCGAAUCCUGCCGCCCCGACCA
rnacentral:tRNA from 3 species